CAGCUCUCCGAGUGGUAGGGACGAUUAUUGGGCUUAAAGCGUCCGUAGCCGGCUUAGCAAGUCUCCUGUUAAAUUCAGCGACCUAAUCGUUGAGCCGCGGGAGAUACUACUAGGCUAGGAGGCGGGAGAGGCCGACGGUAUUCUCGGGGUAGGGGUGAAAUCCUAUAAUCCCGGGAGGACCACCAGUGGCGAAGGCUGUCGGCUAGAACGCGCUCGACGGUGAGGGACGAAAGCUGGGGGAGCGAACCGGAUUAGAUACCCGGGGGUAGUCCCAGCCGUAAACGAUGCGGGCUAGGUGUUGGGGUGGCUACGAGCCCACUUCAGUGCCGCAGGGAAGCCAUUAAGCCCGCCGCCUGGGGAGUACGGCCGCAAGGCUG
rnacentral:rRNA from 1 species